UGGCGGCAUGCCUUACACAUGCAAGUCGAACGGUAGAGGGGCNACCCUCGAGAGUGGCGAACGGGUGAGUAACGCAUCGGAACGUGCCCAGUCGUGGGGGAUAACACUUCGAAAGAAGUGCUAAUACCGCAUACGACCUGAGGGUGAAAGCGGGGGAUCGCAAGACCUCGCGCGAUUGGAGCGGCCGAUGUCAGAUUAGGUAGUUGGUGGGGUAAAGGCCUACCAAGCCGACGAUCUGUAGCUGGUCUGAGAGGACGACCAGCCACACUGGGACUGAGACACGGCCCAGACUCCUACGGGAGGCAGCAGUGGGGAAUUUUGGACAAUGGGCGCAAGCCUGAUCCAGCCAUGCCGCGUGCAGGAAGAGGGNCUUCGGGUUGUAAACUGC
rnacentral:rRNA from 1 species